ACACGACUACAUUAGAUACCCCUGUAGUCCCAGCUGUAAACGAUGCGCGUUAGGUGUAUCGGUGACCACGAGUCACCGAGGUGCCGAAGGGAAACCGUGAAACGUGCCGCCUGGGAAGUACGGUCGCAAGGCUGAAACUUAAAGGAAUUGGCGGGGAGCACCACAACGGGUGGAGCCUGCGGUUUAAUUGGACUCAACGCCGGGAAGCUCACCGGAUAAGACAGCGGAAUGAUUGCCGGGCUGAAGACCCUGCAUGACCAGCUG
rnacentral:rRNA from 1 species